AUGAGGCAGGGGCUUGGGACCUCUGAGCCCCACCUGGGCCGGGUUCUGCACUGCCAUGGCGUGGGCAAGAAUAUCCAUGAGCCUGGCCUAGGUAUCUGGCUCCUCCUGCCUCCCUUUCUCUGCCUCCAUUGCCCAGAGCAUGUCCCCCAUGGAGCAGGGCUCCCCCGAACUGCUGCGUCAGAACAAGGCCUGGACUGGUCUCCCACUCCCCCUGCCCCCCUUCAGCACCCAUCCCCCAUGGGCACAGCUGCCUUCCUCCCCACAAGCUUGCCCCAUUGCCACUGGAGAAUCAUGGGAGUAUGCAAGAGUCACGUCCAUUCACAGGCAAGUCCUCAAGUCACAAGUCCCGUCAAUGCCGUGUCUAAUGGUUGCGCCCUGUUCUACUAGGCCCUACACAAACACAGUGCAGGCAGAGCUAGUGGGGAAAUGGCCGUUAUUUUCUGUGAAACAAGUUCACAAUGUGAUGGAUUUUUUUUGUCAAAAAUUUGUUUCCUUUGGAAUCAAAACAUAAUUUGUUUGCUUGGGGGCUUUUUUGAACUCCUGCCCUCCCCCAAGAAACAGAAAGAAGGGGAGGGGGAAACCCAACAAACACUGACAAGGUGGUGUUUUGGUUUGAAUUAAACUGAAUGAAAGAUAUUUUUUUUUAUUUGAACUGAAGAGUUUUCAUUGGCCAGCGUCAGAGGAUAUCAGUUUUUUGGGUGUAAAUGCGUGGAUUGUUCACUUUUCACUGAGAAAACAUUGUCACAAUAAUCUUCCACCCCGCUGCAAUUCUCUGAGCCUGGCCCUGCCCAAAGCGGUCACAGUGUGACCAGGAAGAGAAACAAAGGGGAUUUGCCCAAGGUCAUUGGCAGGGUUAGGAAGAGAAGCCAGGUCUCUGGAGUAGCAGCCUGCAUGGAAGGUGGAGAGGAGCCCAGGGUGCAGGAGGCCCCCCGAGAGUCAGGCUGCAUGCACAUGGCUGGAAUGCCUGCUGCAGUUGCAGCAACUAGUUCUCUUAAGAAAGAGCCAGUUUGAUUUUAGAAACCGGGAGUCCUCUCCUGUUCUUACCUGGCAUGAGGGACAUGAACCAGGGUCUAGUAAAAUGGCAUUGAGGUGAGUGUCAGUAGCCAUGGGUGCUAUGCCCAGCCACUAGCAAAGUCAUUUGUCCACUCUCUGCCCAAGGUCAGACUAGAUGAGGAUAUUUGAUCCCUUGGGGCUGGACAAUGCCUGACUCUCCCUGCAGGAAUUGCCCCCUGGCUCAAGGGCAAAGGCCUUUCUUUGACAGUGGAUCUGCUGGUUCUCUUCCAAAUGUCUGGUUUUGCAUAUGAAUGAAAUCUGGAUCGCCCAUUAGUUUGUCUGGCUGUUCCUGUGUUUAGCGUGGUUCCUGGUUUUACUGAUUAGCCAGCCGGGGUUGAAACCCAGCCAAGUACACGGUGUGACAUGGAGGAGAGCUUCUAGUUUCUUUGGAAAGCAGGAAGAGAGCAUGAGAAUACCAGUCAAGGGCAGGGUGACACCCAAGACCCAGUCAAGCAAUAUGGCAUUGCCAAAUCACAGCAUGCCCCCAACCAUGCCUCCCCACACCAACGAAGGAGUUUCUGCGAUGCACAUGGAUGGGCCCACAGCCCUCUGUUUCUUUAGAUGGAGCCACGGCAGGGCUGUCUGCGUGGAGGGCUGUGUAGUCAGUGCAUAAGGUGUUGUACUGGGAUUUGGGUGACUUGAGUUCCACCCCAGCUUUGCCAUUGGCCUACUGGCUCACCUUGGGCAAAUCACGUCACUGCUUUGGGCCUCAGUUUCUCCAUCUAUAAAAUUGGGCUAAUAAUAAAGGGCAAGAUUUUUAAAGGCA
ensembl:lncRNA